rnacentral:lncRNA from 1 species
GACGCGGUUGGAUGUUCUUUGCGAGGCUGCUGAGUCAGAAGCCCGGACGGGCCAGCUGCAGUCUUAAUGAACUGACUCAGGAAGGAAGUGCUUACAGAGAUGGUGUACCGUGCAGUCAGUGGGUGGGAGCAAAUGUCGGCUAGAAGACCUGAGCCUUGGGAAGGGGCGGCCUGAUUCCCGGGGAAGAGCAUUGGCUGGAAGUCUGGAGGCCUGGGCUGGUCUCUGCUCUGCCACUAACUUGCUGCAUGACUUUGAGCCAGAAAAAGAGGGAUCACUCACCCAUUCUCCGUCAGAUACUAAGCUGCUGACUGCCUCAAGGACGAACUUCUCUCCCUUGGCUUUCCAGGCUUGGCCAGAUAGGUAGAGAGAACAUGGACGAACAUUUACCGUGUCAGGCAUGGAGCAGAUUGCCUUAUAUAGUUUUCUCAUCUAAUUCCCAGGACCACCCUCUGAAGCAGGAACUAUUGUUACCGCUGCUUUAUAGACAAAGCGACCUAAGGAACCAAAAGCCAACAACGGCAGCAUUGUGGAUGGAGGCACCAGAGAACACAUCAUCUCUGGCUUUUUGCUGCAGAUCUACAUGGAGAAUCACACAUGGGGCGACAAAGAUUCUCAAGGCCAGAUCCCGCAGAAAUGUCUGAAAGGAAACUUUAAAAAAUGAAUCCGUACGGGUUUUUUGUUGUUGUUGUUGUUGCAGCAUUGUCUAAUAUCAUAUGACUGGAAACAACCUAAAUGUUCGUCAAUAGGGAACUAGUUAAAUAAGUUAUGGUAUAUCAUCAUACAGUGGAAUACUAUGCAGUUGUAAAAAAAAAAAAAAAGAAAGAAUAAAGAAGCAUUUGCUGACA